UACGUAGGUGGCGAGCGUUGUCCGGAAUUACUGGGUGUAAAGCGCGCGUAGGCGGGAGGCCAAGUCCGCUGUGAAAUCGCCCGGCUCAACUGGGCGCGGUCGGUGGAAACUGGUCACCUGGAGGACGGUAGAGGCGAGUGGAAUUCCCGGUGUAGUGGUGAAAUGCGUAGAGAUCGGGAGGAACACCAGUGGCGAAGGCGGCUCGCUGGGCCGGCCCUGACGCCUGAGGCGGCGAAGGCGUGGGGAGCGAA
rnacentral:rRNA from 1 species